rnacentral:lncRNA from 1 species
CUAAAGAACGUCAACUGGCAAAACGGCGAUCUAAAACCCUACGCAGUCUUCUGGGUUGAUCCAGACCGACGUUUAUCAACCCGGUCGGACGAUUCUGGCUCAACUCGACCUGUCUGGAAUGAGCGCUUCACCCUUCCCCUUGUUGUUCCUCCACACGAAACCGUUUUGACCCUCGAGAUCUUUCAUUCCAAACCCUCUGAAACUCCGAAGCCUUUGGUGGCUACUCUCCGGGUUGAGCUCAAGGAAUUACCCGACCUGGAUGAUGGUUCCAAGAUCCGAACCUUUUCUUUGCUCCGACCCUCGGGUCGUCCCCAAGGUAAGAUCCGGUUGAAACUUGGGAUCCGGGAACGUCCUCUUCCACCACCUCAUGAUUACCAUUUUGCCCCUCCUAGCUAUUAUUACACAAAUGCCCCUCCUCCACCAAGAUACUCUGCUCCGCCUU